GCCCGUUGGUCAAGCGGUUAAGACACCGCCCUUUCACGGCGGUAACACGGUUUCGAAUCCCGUCCGGGUCAU
rnacentral:tRNA from 1 species